rnacentral:SRP_RNA from 1 species
GCUGGGCGUGGUGACGCGUGCCUGUAAUCCCAGCUACGUGGGAGGCUGAAGCAGGAGAAUCGCUUGAACCCAGGAGGUGGAGGUUGCAGUGAGCUGAGAUCACACCACUGCACUCCAGCCUGGGUGACAGAGUGAGACUCUGUCUCAA